GCCACUUAUUUUGUUUUUGCUUGUGUAUUUUAUACUCAUAUUAUAUAAUAUAACACCUCUACCUAGACCUUACCAACCAAUUAACAACAUUUUUGUCGAUAUAAAAUACUCAAAUCAAAUAUUUACUUACACGUGUACUCCGAAAAAAUUAUCAUGCAUCACACGAGACGAAUUAAAGGUGGGAUAUAAAAGUCAUCCUUCAAGUACAUAAUAAUUCCCCCUUAUUUAAGUGGAAGCUUGGUGGGGUUGUCUGGUGGCGAAGGCCGAAGGUGCAGAUCAGAGAAGAGGCACAAACGCUGACCACAAAGAUCGAAACUUGAAAACAACGCAACCAUUUCUUGGUGUUCCCCAAUUCAAGAAAUGACAAGAGGAAAGCAAAAGAUCGAAGCUCAGAAAAAGAAUGCUGAGAAAAAUUCUAAGUCUAAGGGUUCCCAGAUUGAAGCUCGUGCUGUUGGCCUCAAAGUUGUCUGUCCCAUCUGCAAGGCACUGCUAGCAAAUGAAAAACAGCUUGUUGAUCACUAUGGCUCGAAGCAUCCCAAGGAAAAGCCACCAAGCAACUCAAGUUGACACAACAGCAUAAACCAGUUUUUAUGGUGUAGAAAAUCCUACAUAGUACUGGUUAUUUGUCUAAAUUGUACCCGAAUAUAUAUGGUUCGAACUAUAUACAAUUGCUUUAAUUUGUGGUUGUUGUUUCCUGUUUCAAAUAAUUCAGGAACCUAGAUUCAAACCAAUUUCCUUUGAAAAUUAUGCAACUAGACCAGUAUAUUUUGUGCAUGUUGCUCAGAAAGGCAUUGCAUAUUUGCAUUUA